AGAGUUUGAUCCUGGCUCAGGAUGAACGCUGGCGGCGUGCCUAACACAUGCAAGUCGAACGAAGCACUGAGACUUCGGUUUUUGUGCUUAGUGGCGGACGGGUGAGUAACGCGUGAGCAAUCUGCCUUUCAGAGGGGGAUAACGAUUGGAAACGAUCGCUAAUACCGCAUAACGUAUUUGGAUGGCAUCUUCUGAAUACCAAAGGAGCAAUCCGCUGAAAGAUGAGCUCGCGUCUGAUUAGAUAGUUGGUGAGGUAACGGCCCACCAAGUCGACGAUCAGUAGCCGGACUGAGAGGUUGAACGGCCACAUUGGGACUGAGACACGGCCCAGACUCCUACGGGAGGCAGCAGUGGGGAAUAUUGCGCAAUGGGGGAAACCCUGACGCAGCAACGCCGCGUGAUUGAAGAAGGUCUUCGGAUUGUAAAAAUCUUUUAUCAAGGACGAAGAAGUGACGGUACUUGAUGAAUAAGCUCCGGCUAACUACGUGCCAGCAGCCGCGGUAAUACGUAGGGAGCAAGCGUUAUCCGGAUUUACUGGGUGUAAAGGGCGAGUAGGCGGAUUGGCAAGUUGGGAGUGAAAUGUCGGGGCUUAACCCCGGAACUGCUUCCAAAACUGUUGAUCUUGAGUGAUGGAGAGGCAGGCGGAAUUCCCAGUGUAGCGGUGAAAUGCGUAGAUAUUGGGAGGAACACCAGUGGCGAAGGCGGCCUGCUGGACAUUAACUGACGCUGAGGAGCGAAAGCGUGGGGAGUAAACAGGAUUAGAUACCCUGGUAGUCCACGCCGUAAACGAUGGAUACUAGGUGGGGGAGGUAUUGACCCCUUCCGUGCCGCCAUUAACACAAU
rnacentral:rRNA from 1 species